CUCUUUAUUUGUGUAAGAAGGAACGCAACAAGACAUUUAAUAAUUAUAUUAUUCCCAAUUAAUGGGGAUAAAACUAAGUAAACGAGAAAACCGUAGGAAAAUGGAUAAUAGGUACAUUAUUCAUGGCUUGAAGCAGUUUUGAAAUCGAUGUUGGGUAACGGUUAAAACCAUUAAAUAAUCGAUAUUAAUAUCAAAAUCGGAAAUGAAAUCAUAUAUAUUGAAAACUGAUUUUGAAAUCAAAAACAAAAGAAAACUAAACCGAUUUCUGAAAUUGAAACCAAAAUUAAAA